rnacentral:lncRNA from 1 species
AAUAAUGUGCAUCACUUUUAGUGGCACAAAUUUUAAUAAAUGUUAGGUAAUUGUAUUAUGAGUGGAGAAAUAAAUCCACUUUAUUGUAGUAUUAUUGAUAUAUUAACUUAUUAUAUAUUUUUCUAUAAAAAGAUAAUACUAUAAAAUAUGGCAUACCUUUUUUGUUCCACAUAAUUAAUCGCUAUUUGGUUUUUACUCAUAUUAAGAAAACUGAAAACUAGUACCGCUAUCUUGUGCGAUGCACUAGUGUUGGUCUAGUGGUAGGUGGUUAAUAUCCAAUGCUUGAGGUUUAGGGUUCGAGUCCACCGUUGUUCGGUGUUUAAAUUUCUUUAUUUAUUUAUGUAAUUUAUCAAAAAAUAAAAAUAAUUAAACUUAAAUUAUAUACUCCAUCCGUGUCACCACACUUGCUAUGUUUUUUAAACAAAAUUAUUUUCUUAAUUCUUAAACAAAAAGAAUAAGAGGAAGAAUUAAGAAAAUAAUUUUGUUUAAAACUUCUAACUACUGCUAUAGCUUUUUAAUCUUAAAUUCAUCUUUUAUACUCCAUAAUAUAUAUCAAAUUGAAGCUAUUGUCAUAAUAUUUAAUUUGAUAUGUAUAUUAAAUAUUUAAUUAUGUAUUAGUUGAAUUAUUAUAUUUGAAAAGCAAAAAGAGAAAAAAAAGAAGAAGAAGAAAAAGAAAAAAUAAUGUAAUACUGAGUGUGAAUUGUGGAAGAAAAAUAUGCAUUUUGGAGUAGCAAAAAAUCACUUUUUCUCUAAUUACACUAAAAAGUAUCCAUUAAAAACGUCAUUUUUAUAUAUUACGUGUAUAUAUAUAUAUAUAUAUAUAUAUCAAAUUUUUGCAAUGAACAAAAGAAAUUAUAACUUAAAAAACAAAAGAAAAUAAAGCUACUUAAAUAAAAUCAAAAUAUAAAAGGAAAUAUAAAAAAUAAAAUAAACCAAAAUAUAAAAUAUAAUACCCGAAAUUAAUAAGAGAAGGAGAAUAAAAAAAUUAGUUUGAGUCUUCAGAACAUUAUAUUAUGUUAAAUCUAUUUGAAUAUGACAUAUAUCAAAUUAAAGAUCUCAAUCUUUGAUUUGAUAUCAUAUUGAAUAUUUUAUCAAACUACACAAUUUUUAGAAAGAAAAAGAAAAAAAAAAACAAUAAAAAAAUAAAAAUAAUAAUAAUAAAGUAGAGUAGAAAUAGAAUGGAGUGGAAUGAAAACUGAAGUGCAUGCAUGCUUAAAACUAGCUUCUCAUAUAUUAUAUAGAUUCAUUUAAUUUUCUAUGAAAUAUGAAAUUGUUUUAUUUUCUUUUUAUUUAUUGUUCUACGCCUUAUUUUUACAAACAUUGAAUAAGGUUAUAUUAGCAAAAUAAUACCCCCGUCCACAAAAGAUAAUCCUAUUAAAGAACGUCACAAGUUUUAAUAAAAAUAAUUAUUGUAUUAUGGAGAAAAGGUCCCAUUUAAAAUGUAGUGUUUAUAACAAUAAUUAAUUGUAUUGUGAGUGCAGAAUAGAACCCACUAUAUGAUUGAUAGUUUUUAAAAAUAGAAAAGGAUUAAUUUUUGUUGACAUCUUAAAAUGCCAAAAGUGGAAUAAUU